AGAGCCCGGGAGUGCGGCUGCGGCGGGGCGGGCGCGCCGGGGGAGGGGACAGAACUCGGCCCCCGCCGGGGUCUCCAGGCAACGCCGCCCGCCCGCUCGCGGACGUCAGGCGCCUUCCCGGCCUCCCAUUGGCCGCCGCCAAUUUUUUUCCUCCGGGGGAGGGUGCUGGAGGCCUCCGGGCGGGGCCGGCGGCCCGGGCGGCCGGUGUGGCGUGUAGCUCUCGGCCCCAGUGGAUGCCGCCGGGUGGCGGCGGGAAGGCACGGCUGUUCUCCUCCGGGGCUGCGCGGUCGGAGAGCCCCGAUCAGUAGGAUGAAAAAUGAAUGCGGAUGAAGCUACUACCCUUCCAAAGCUAUGAUUCUCAAGAUAACUAUUAUCAUUUCACAGAGAAUGCAGGGCGGCUAUGGCAGGGCAUUAGAGGCCCUGGGGGAUGAAAAAGGCUCAUUCAGGCCUGCAGGUGGCCUGCACCUGGGGACAGAGUAAAUCUGCAACGGAGUCGCCUCACUUCCUACAGUAGCAGCAAUAAAAUAGGCUGCCCUGAAUGAGUGAACUGAAGAAAAGUUUCUCUGUAAGGAGUGACAGACGACUGGACUCACAGAAGUAGGGGAGGCAUGAAUGGGAUAAAAUUUUUGAAUUUAUGUUCAACAUGUUUCCUGCAGAUUUAGUGGAGGAAAAAUCCACACAUACCCCCAUCCCAAUCCCCCAG
rnacentral:lncRNA from 1 species